rnacentral:lncRNA from 1 species
CGGGGGGGGGCAGGGUAAAAAAAAAACCCUUUUAUCAGCCAUAGGUUAAUGCAAGUGUUUAACAGAUGCUUCGCUAUUAAAAUAUUUCCCCCCAAUACUGAAGAAUCUUAAACCAGCAACCCUAACAGAGAUUGCGAAGAUUUUCAAAGUGGGGCACCUCGAUUUCUCGAAUCUGUGGUGUGGCGAAUAUCCGUGUUCCUCCUGCUUAACUAGCCUGUUUGGCAGGUCUGAUUCUAUUUAUUCUAAAGACAGAGUUGGAGAUGGGCUACCAUUGGUGUUGAUUGAGAUGACAAGCAGUCACCUGAGCCCAUACAGCUGGUAAGUAGAACAGUACUGGAGAGAUGGCUCAGCAGUUAAGAGCACUGACUGCUCUUCCAGAGAUCCUGAGUUCAAUUCCCAGCAACCACAUGGUGGCUCACAAACAUCUGUAAUGAGAUCAGGUGCCCUCUUCUGGUGCCUUUGAAGACAAAG